rnacentral:rRNA from 1 species
CAAUAGCGUAUAUUAAAGUUGUUGCGGUUAAAAAGCUCGUAGUUGGAUUUCUGCUGAGGAUGACCGGUCCGCCCUCUGGGCAGGUAUCUGGCUCAGCCUUGGCAUCUUCCUGAAGAACGCAGCUGCACUUGACUGUGUGGUGCGGUAUUUAGGACAUUUACUUUGAGGAAAUUAGAGUGUUUCAAGCAAGCGCACGCCUUGAAUACAUUAGCAUGGAAUAAUAAGAUAGGACCUCGGUUCUAUUUUGUUGGUUUCUAGAACUGAGGUAAUGAUUGAUAGGGAUAGUUGGGGGCAUUCGUAUUUAACUGUCAGAGGUGAAAUUCUUGGAUUUGUUAAAGACGGACUACUGCGAAGGCAUUUGCCAAGGAUGUUUUCAUUGA